rnacentral:rRNA from 1 species
GACGAACCGUGCGAACGUUAUUCGGAAUCACUGGGCUUAAAGCGCGUGUAGGCGGGAGGGCACGUCCGUCGCUGAAAUCCCCCGGCUCAACCGGGGAACGGGCGCGGAUACGACCUUCCUGGAGGGGCGUAGGGGGACCUGGAACUUCCGGUGGAGCGGUGAAAUGCGUAGAGAUCCGGAGGAACACCGACGGCGUAGGCAGCGCCCUAGACGAGACCUGACGCUCAGGCACGAAAGCGCGGGGAGCGAACAGG